rnacentral:misc_RNA from 1 species
GGUAAUAAUCUUGACCAGACUAUUCAACAAAUAAUGGAUAUAGGAGGUGGGACCUGGGAUAAAGAAACAGUUACUCGUGCACUUCGGGCAGCCUAUAACAAUCCAGAACGAGCAGUGGAUUACUUGUACUCUGGUAUUCCAGAAGCAGCAGAAGUUGCUGUCCCAGUUUCUCAUUUCCCUGCAGGUCAGGCAACUGAAACAGGUGCAGCUGCAUCUGGAGUACCUAAUACAUCUCCCUUGAAUAUGUUCC